rnacentral:rRNA from 1 species
GAAAGACCUUGCGCUUUGGGAGCGGCCGAUGUCUGAUUAGCUAGUUGGUGGGGUAAAGGCCUACCAAGGCGACGAUCAGUAGUUGGUCUGAGAGGACGACCAGCCACACUGGGACUGAGACACGGCCCAGACUCCUACGGGAGGCAGCAGUGGGGAAUUUUGGACAAUGGGCGCAAGCCUGAUCCAGCAAUGCCGCGUGAGUGAAGAAGGCCUUCGGGUUGUAAAGCUCUUUCAGUCGAGAAGAAAAAGCUGCAGUGAAUAACUGUAGUUCAUGACGGUAUCGACAGAAGAAGCACCGGCUAACUACGUGCCAGCAGCCGCGGUAAUACGUAGGGUGCGAGCGUUAAUCGGAAUUACUGGGCGUAAAGGGUGCGCAGGCGGCUUUGUAAGUCAGAUGUGAAAUCCCCGGGCUUAACCUGGGAAUUGCGUUUGAAACUACAAAGCUA